rnacentral:rRNA from 1 species
UACGUAGGGUGCAAGCGUUAAUCGGAAUUACUGGGCGUAAAGCGUGCGCAGGCGGUUUUGUAAGUCUGUCGUGAAAUCCCCGGGCUCAACCUGGGAAUUGCGAUGGAGACUGCAAGGCUAGAAUCUGGCAGAGGGGGGGUAGAAUUCCACGUGUAGCAGUGAAAUGCGUAGAGAUGUGGAGGAACACCGAUGGCAAAGGCAGCCCCCUGGGUCAAGAUUGACGCUCAUGCACGAAAGCGUGGGGAGCAAACAGG